GCCGCCGAGUGGCCGGGCCGGCACGGCGACGACCGGGUCUGGCACGCCCCGCGGAACCUGGAGCACGGGGUCUCCUUCGACGGCGC
rnacentral:tRNA from 1 species